UACAUAGGGGGCAAGCGUUAUCCGGAAUUACUGGGCGUAAAGGGUGCGUAGGCGGCUUCUUAAGUCUAGUGUGAAAUCCCACGGCUUAACCGUGGGCGGUCAUUAGAAACUGGGAAGCUUGAGUACAGCAGAGGUAAGUGGAAUUUCUAGUGGAGCGGUGGAAUGCGUAGAUAUUAGAAGGAACACCAGUGGCGAAGGCGGCUUACUGGGCUGGAACUGACGCUAAUGCACGAAAGCGUGGGGAGCAAACAGG
rnacentral:rRNA from 1 species